GAUUGAGGAUAGAGUCACGCGUUAAAAGAUCAAUUUUUAGGGUGUGCUAUUUCCUCAAAAAUUAAAUUUUGGUUUUCAAAUUCGCUGGAACUAACUUUUGUGUUUUUUCCAGUCACCAGAAUAACCAACAUC